GCCAACGCCGAAUACCAGCUGGGAACAGGCGCUCUGAGAGCGGCGCGGGCGACCGCCAGCAGGCGCGGGUAUCCUACAGGGGCGCCUCCGAGGAGAGGACCAGACCGGUCGCGCCCCAGCGGCACGCCACUCCGCCGAGUGGGGAGACGGUUCUGCUAGGUACUCACCGUAAGGAGCCCCUCACCCUACCGCGCUCCUUCUGUCGUUACCGCUUCCUGCUCCCCAGCACGCUGAAAAACGAGGCAGGCGCCGGCCAAUCGCGACUCGCAUUCCCGGCCUGCACUACGCGGCGGAAAUGAUGGCAGAGUCACCUUUCACAUGACAGGAAUCACCUCAAUGACACUCUGGAGAAAUCUGUAUUAAUUAAGACAACCUGAUAAGCCUUCUGAACACGACAUGCAGAUGAGUUUGGGAAUAAUAUUAAAGCAUAGAUGUUCUCCUCCAGUUCUGAGCUUCUCAUGGCAGUGUUGAAGAAGGCAGAGAACAUCCAGCCAGACUGAGUGUUGGUUGCCUCUCCCAGGGAGAGCUGUGAAGUAGCAAACAGACAAAAAUGAAUACCAAACUAAUCAUAGAAAAGUGUGAAUCAUACAUUUCCCUUCUUUAAAAAAAACCCAUCUUGUCUGAAGAAAUGAAGGAAUUAAUAAACUGCAGAUGUAAACCCAAAAAUUCAGAAGCCAUGCUUAUGUGCAGAAUUGAGUAGAUAACUAUUUUCGAAAAGCAGUUGAUUCAGAUUAUAAAUGAAGGACAAAAGGGACCAUUAGCUUAUCUAUCACAAGGCUAUCCACCUAGCAGCCUGUGACCUACACCCAGCUUGCUGGAGAGUUCUGUCUGGCUCGCCAAAUAGGUUUGAAAGCUGCUUAGUGCACUCACACAGCCAGAUCUCCCACCACACUGUCCUGCAUUAUGACCAAAUGAUUCAUUCACCCAGGGAGGUGCAGAAUUCAGAUAGCUACAACGUGGCCUUUUCUGGUCUCAUCUAUUAAAAAAAGUCUUAUGAAAUCAAUUGCUCAUUACUGUAAUGGUACAAUCAUUUGCAGUAAAACUCUGUAUCAGAAGACUCAACAUGUCACAUUACACAAUGACUUGUUCUGUCCAUGAAAGGACUUUACUGUCAUGCCUAGAGCAAGCCAGAUGUGUGCUAUUACGCAAGAGAAAAACAUUUCUGUAGAGCCCCUUUGUCCUGAUUUUGGCUAGGAUAGAGUUAAUUUUCUUAGUAGCUGGUACAGUGCUGUGUUUUGGAUUUAGUAUGAGAAUAAUGUUGAUAACACACUGAUGUUUUAGUUGUUGCUAAGUAGUGCUUACUCUAAAUCAGGAACAUUUUUCAGUUUUCCAUGCUCUGCCCGUGAGCAGGUAUACAAGAAGCUGGGAGGGAGCAGAGCCAGAACAGCUGACCUGAACUAGCUAAAGGGAUAUUCCAUACCACAGAACAUCAUGCUCAGUAUUGAUAUACUGGGGGGAGUUGGGCAGGGUCCGCUGAUAGCUGCUCGGGGACUGGUUGGGCAUUGGUCAGCAGGUGGUGAGCAGCUGUAUUGUGCAUCACUUGUUUUCCUUUCUCCCUUUCCCUUUGGAUUUUAUCCUUUUCCCCACCUUUCCAUUAUAACUAUUAUUAUUAUUAUUGUUCUUACUUUUUUAUUCUGUUUAAAUUAUUAAAUUGUUCUCUCAACCCUUGA